GACGAACGCUGGCGGCGUGCUUAACACAUGCAAGUCGAGCGGUAAGGCCCUUUCGGGGGUACACGAGCGGCGAACGGGUGAGUAACACGUGGGUGACCUGCCCUCAGCUCUGGGAUAAGCCUGGGAAACUGGGUCUAAUACCGGAUAUGACUCCAUGACGCAUGUUGUGGGGUGGAAAGCCUUGUGCGGCUGAGGAUGGGCCCGCGGCCUAUCAGCUUGUUGGUGGGGUGANGGCCUACCAAGGCGACGACGGGUAGCCGGCCUGAGAGGGCGACCGGCCACACUGGGACUGAGACACGGCCCAGACUCCUACGGGAGGCAGCAGUGGGGAAUCUUGCGCAAUGGGCAAAGCCUGACGCAGCGACGCCGCGUGAGGGAU
rnacentral:rRNA from 1 species